rnacentral:lncRNA from 1 species
CCUCUGCUUGCUGGAUGUUUCCUGUCCUUGAAGCUGGGGGGAUGGGCCAGAGCCCGGUGUCCAGGGGGUGGGGCCUCGGUACUGUUCCUUCUCUGCCUGUGGCUGUUGGGGAGGGGUGGGUGGGGGGGACAGGAAACCGGGGCCUUUCCGCCCAAUGUCGGGGCAGAAGGGUCCGCCUACCACAGGCCGGGCUGUGGUAGGACCGGCCUGAGGGAACCGGGCCCUUCUGACUCAUCCUUCCCCCGUGAGGCGCUGGGCACACUGGAGCCUUGUGCCAGGAGGUCAGUCACUCUCCCCACCGCCGGAGAAAACUUUCCUCAGGACGGGCCAGGACCCCGCCAACCCGCCGGGCCCACAGAAGGACCGGGAGGCAGUCUCUGCAGCCCCCACAGCAAGUGUCUUCAACCACACAGGCCGUGGGAGCUUCAGGGGAGGAGGCUGUGGCAUCUGUUCGGACUUCUUUCCACAUUUGUCAGGCCAUUACAGCCGGCCUGUAGCCGCUCUCCUCUCCGCUGUGGCUGGAAGAAGAACCUCCCUCCCCGGCUGUCCCUUCCGUGCGGGCCUCGGCGUCUGGGCUGUCUAGACAGAGCUGCCAUUUCCACCGGGAGGUCUGAGAACCCCUCCCCUACCUCUCUCUCUCUCUGCAGUCUGCUGGCCACAGGGCAUCUGCACAGGCUGGGACCGCCGGCUAGGCCAGGAGCCCCGGCAGCUGUGGACUCCCUAGCUCGGAGCAGCCCCUCUUUGGUGAGUGGUGGAGCCCUCCCUGCAUUCGCUCUUGGAGCAGCCCCAGCCCUCCCCCAGGGCCUGGGAGCUGAGCCAGCCUCUCUUGGGAGGGGGGGGGGGACUUCCAGAUGCUCAGACUGGCACCUCGCUCCAGACCUGUGACACACCCUUCAUUUUCCCUGCUCUCCUGUCCCCACCCCACCCACUUUCUCAUUCCUUCAGGUGUCCCUUCUGUUCCACCCCUUCCUCUCCUCUCUGUCCUGCCUGGUUCUCUGGGGCCAUUGCUGGGUCACAGUGGGGCCUCUGAGCUCCCCCUGUGGACAGAAGGGCUGAGAGCCUAAUGGCGGAGGCCCUUGAGGAUUGGCUGGGAUGGG